AACGCGAAGAACCUUACCUGGGUUUGACAUGCACAGGACGCGUCUAGAGAUAGGCGUUCCCUUGUGGCCUGUGUGCAGGUGGUGCAUGGCUGUCGUCAGCUCGUGUCGUGAGAUGUUGGGUUAAGUCCCGCAACGAGCGCAACCCUUAUUUCAUGUUGCCAGCGGGUAAUGCCGGGGACUCGUGAGAGACUGCCGGGGUCAACUCGGAGGAAGGUGGGGAUGACGUCAAGUCAUCAUGCCCCUUAUGUCCAGGGCUUCACACAUGCUACAAUGGCCGGUACAAAGGGCUGCGAUGCCGCAAGGCUUAGCGAAUCCUUUUAAAGCCGGUCUCAGUUCGGAUCGGGGUCUGCAACUCGACCCCGUGAAGUCGGAGUCGCUAGUAAUCGCAGAUCAGCAACGCUGCGGUGAAUACGUUCCCGGGCCUUGUA
rnacentral:rRNA from 1 species